AGCGAACGCUGGCGGCAGGCCUAACACAUGCAAGUCGAACGAACCUUUCGGGGUUAGUGGCGGACGGGGGAGUAACACGUGGGAACGUGCCUUUAGGUUCGGAAUAACUCAGGGAAACUUGUGCUAAUACCGAAUGUGCCCUUCGGGGGAAAGAUUUAUCGCCUUUAGAGCGGCCCGCGUCUGAUUAGCUAGUUGGUUGAGGUAAUGGCUCACCAAGGCGACGAUCAGUAGCUGGUCUGAGAGGAUGAUCAGCCACAUUGGGACUGAGACACGGCGCAAACUCCUACGGGAGGCAGCAGUGGGGAAUCUUGCGCAAUGGGCGAAAGCCUGACGCAGCCAUGCCGCGUGAAUGAUGAAGGUCUUAGGAUUGUAAAAUUCUUUCACCGGGGACGAUAAUGACGGUACCCGGAGAAGAAGCCCCGGCUAACUUCGUG
rnacentral:rRNA from 1 species